AAAAUACUCCCUCUAUCCGGAAAUACUUGUCGGAGAAAUGUCUAAAAACGAAUGUAUGUAAAACUAAAAUACAUCUAGAUACAUCCAUUUCUCCGACGAGUAUUUCCGGACGGAGGAAAUACUAG
rfam:Triticum aestivum genome assembly, contig: Triticum_aestivum_CS42_TGACv1_scaffold_031917_1BL